rnacentral:rRNA from 1 species
UACGUAGGGGGCUAGCGUUGUCCGGAUUUAUUGGGCGUAAAGAGCUCGUAGGCGGUUUGGUAAGUUGGAUGUGAAAUCUCCAGGCUCAACUUGGAGGGGUCAUUCGAUACUGCCAUGACUAGAGUUCGGUAGGGGAGUGUGGAAUUCCUGGUGGAGCGGUGAAAUGCGUAGAUAUCUGGAGGAACACCGGUGGCGAAGGCGGCGUUCUGGACUGCAACUGACACUGAGGAACGAAAGCCAGGGGAGCAAACGGG